ensembl:lncRNA
CACAGGGACUUUCCAAAAGGAACUGGUUUGGGGGGCUUUCAGAGUUCAGAAGUAACUAGUUACAGAUAAUAAUUAUGAAUAACUAGUUGCUUGUAAUUGAUUAUUUUUCCCAGUAACAAAGGUAUAACUAAGUUGAUUGUGAUGUAAUUAGGAAUAAGCUCACUUCUUCUGCAGGCUGACUAUAACAUUAUAGUUAGCUUUUAGACCAUGGCGGGCUGGAUUCACUAAAACCUGAAAACACGUGAAGGCAGCAGCCUAGCUUUGGGAACACGGGGAAAGUUGCAUGGUGUGCAGCUGUCUCCACCAACACCUUACUGCCCCCUCCUCAUACCUGCAACCUCAUCCAACCAUCUCACUCUGCUUAACGGCAGAGUCAGCCCUAGAUAGUUGGUAGGAAUGCUCUUGGGUCUUAGAUCUUUCCCAUGCUUUUGAAAUAGAGAUGCCUGGGAUUAAAUCUGGAUCCUUCUACAUGCCAGGUUGCUCUCCCAUGGAAAUGCAACAAACCAGGCUGAAUUCCUUAGCAAAACAACUGUACUUUUUCCAGAAGUACUAAGUGUGAAGGGAGGUGAAUGUGGAAUCGUAUGACAUCAUCCAAGACAGUUGGCUUAGAAUGUGUACUUGAGUGGUCGGGAUUUGUGAACCCACGUCAGUUGGGUAGCUGACAGAAGGGGAAGGGGCUGACUGGCAGAUUGUGUCUGUAGCCAAGCUUCUUGUCUUUGUCUUCAAGUUCUUGAUGGAUAACAACGCAGAUGCACCAAUAGCUCCUGCCAUUCCUGCUGGUGCAGCUGAUGCUCUGGCUAAUGGAGACCAGUGGACACCGUUUGAGGCUAGGAGACAGUUAGAUAUCGCAAACAGCCCUUUGCAAGUAGAAGUGGUUGCCAAAGAAGAUAAGAAAGAUGACAAGAGUGAGGAGGAGGAGGAGGAGGAAAAAGAGCAGGGAAAAACCAAGGAGGCCCAUAGCACUGACACUGACAUCGAGAAGAUGCGCUUGGAAUUUGAGCUGGCCAUGUUGAAGCGUCAACAUGAGGAGAAUGACAAACAGCGGCAGCAUGAGGCGAAGAUGGAACACAUCCGCCAUCAAUUGCCAUCUAGAUCUGGACCUCAUGGAGAAGACCAGCAGCUGGGUGGCCCGUUAGACCCCAUCACAGAAAUUGAACUGGAGAAGAUGCGCAUGGAAUUUGAACUGGCCAAACUGAGGCACAUCUCGGAGGAGAAUGAGCGGCAGAGGCAGCACGAGCGGAAGAUCUAUGAAGACAAGGAGAAACAGAGGCAGCAUGAAGAGAAGAUGGAGCACGUGAGGCAGAGGCAAGGGAAUUUCCGACUGGUCAGCCAGAAAGCUUCCAAUGGUGGUGUGGGAGAUGCCGUGGCUGAGACAACCCCUGGGACUUUUGCAGACUUGGGGAAGAUGAGGAUAGAGCUCCAGUUGGCCAUGGAAGUUUACCUGCCAGAGAUUAAUGAAAAAAAGCACCCGUUAGAGCAGGGCAGUCACCAGGAAGGCACAAAGGCCCAGCAGCAAGCAGACAAUAAGCCUGAGGUGGAAAAGGCACAGGACCCACUUGAACAGAAGAACAGUGGGGUGACUGAACACCUGGGUCUGCAGGUGCCCCGCAUCGUGGUAAGUGGAGCAGAGACUGAGUGGUCAAGCAGCCGACUGGACCUAGCCAUCGAGACCGAGCUGGAGAAGAGGCGGAUGGAGUUUGAGCUGACGAGGCUUAAAUACGAACAUGAUGAGAACGAGCGUCAGCGUCAGCAUGAAGAGAAGAUGGAGCAGCUGCGCCGUCAGGGGGCACCAACCAGGGAGUUGGAAUGAGGAAUCCAUUUCACGAUCAAUUGCUGUAUUCCUCAGAGACACUGAAGCAUCGCCAGUGAGGGCAUAGAGAGAGCCUUCUCAGAACUGUAAACAUUUUCUCUGCAUUGCCAGUUAUUAUAUUAUAUUUUAUUGGCCUGCUUUAAUGUCCUUGCCUUGUAUCUUCCUUCAUGAGAUGGGCAAUAUUAUUCAAUAGCAUCUGGAUCAAAAGAUGCCACAAUAUAAGAACAGAUUCCUUGUCGAUCUAUUCACUUACUAGCAAAUGUACCUGGUUAGAAACCCAUCAGUACCACCCCACCCCUAUUAUUUUUCUUUCAGGCUGAUUUUUCUCUUCUUCCUUCAGCUUGCAACAGUUUUGCCUGGGUUUGAAACCUUGCUUUUUCCCUCUCUGUGCUGCAUCCCCACCCAACCUCUGCUCUCUCUAUUCCCUUUUCCCAAACUUCCCCCCUCACCACACCCAAGCACUGGGAAUAUAUCCAUUCUAUAUUCUGUGAAUAUUCUACGAUACUUUAUCUGAUGGCAGCUCCAGAAACCCCAGGCAGCACAGCUUAGUGGUGAAGGCUUCUUUCUGGGAGCUGCAGUCAAAGAACACCUGGGUUACCCUUAAGGGAAUCCCCCUUCUGCAUAUCAGGCAUGAGCUUCCACUUAUCCUCAGAAUGGAUUUUGUCUAAAUCCCACAACACCUCACAUGGAAACCAUAAGA